rnacentral:lncRNA from 1 species
UUCUCUCUCUCAUAUACACACACACACAGAGAGACAGAAACAGAGAGAGACAAAGAGACAGAGAGAAGGGAAAUCAUAUGUAGCAGCCGGCUCUCUCUUCUAUACACACACAGCCAAUCACUCACCCACUAAACAUAAAGGAAGAUUUUUGUUUUUAUAGUUCUUUGCCUCCAAAUUUAAGUCAAAUAAAAGGUGUGUUUCCUAAUGAUACACAGCUGAAGUAUUGUCUUAUUUUUCAAGGUCUAUUUCCAUAAAACCUUUUUCCUCAUAAUGAAGAUGCUUAUCCAUGUGUUUGUGGCAAUUAAAGAUAUGUAUAUUUAAUGGUCUUGCUCCAUCAGUACGAUGUUGGCUAAUGUUGGUGUCAUAGGUUGCCAAUUUACUGUCUAGUAAUUGCUACUUAAAUACUUGUUUGAGAUGGGCAACAACUUUGUCUUGCAGCUAGCUUAGACUCACACGGAUGCUUCAUCAAGCCUCGGCGGAAGAGCUGGCUUCUAAUUAAACCAACAACAGGACCUCUAGAACUGCAUAACUUCCACUUUUGCCAUUUAUAGUAUGACCUGCUAAAGGAUGAAAAUACAGUGCUAAUCAAGAAAAGAACUGUAGAGCUUGCAUCGGUGCAAUUUCAAGACAAAAUCAUUUAUGCAGAAUUAUCAUCAGAAAGCAUCAAACUCCCAAUGUCCCCACAUUCUCCAAGGAAUCAAGGGAUGGGGAAUGAGGUCUUACUCUGCACAGGCAUGCAAAACCCUUAAAGUAAUUGUUUUUUUUAAAUAUCACCCCCAAAUACUGAUUACUUCAUAUCUUUAAGAGGCACAUACGAAUCUUCCAUAAGCAACUCCCAUCUUCUUGUCUAGUAAAGAGUACCAGUCCAACAAGGUAGAAAAUAUUAUCUUUCAAGACUGAUUUACAAACAUCUCUUGCCCCUAAUGGUACUUUGAAAAAAGUAAUCAAUAAACUAGAACUAGUUGAAGUGUAAACUCGCUAGAGUCCUCUCUAUGCAGGAUCUCUGUGGUACUGAUAACAUAGGUCACAUGCCACUGAGAGAUGCUUACUGCCUACAAGUCCCCCAAAACAUCCAGCAUUGACAUUAACUUUGAAAGGUAUGGGUGGGUGUUCUGUGAAAGAAUGGCUUGAUCAUUUCAUAAAACUCUUCAUAUUGUAAUC